rnacentral:tRNA from 1 species
GGGUGGUUAGCUCAGUUGGCUAGAGCGCCUGCUCGACACGCAGGAGGUCACUGGUUCGAGCCCAGUACUACCCACCA